GAGUCAACUCUCUCCCCCGUCCAUGUGGGGUCCCAGCUACCGAACUCGGGCCCUCAUGCUUGUUAGCUGUACCCACAGAACUGUCUUACACUCAUUCGUUUUUCCAAAGAAUGUGAAAGAACGGCAGUGAGCACGUGAGCUUCAGUUGAACCGUCCUUCCCAGGAGCGAGAAUGUGAAGUGGAGACUCAGGUUACUACGGAAGUAUGGUGCAAUGGAUAAUAACCUAUAAAGGUUGUUUGCUGACACCUCCAUGUCACCUCACAGAGGGUCGCAGACGCAGGCUCCAGAAUCCGGUGACAUUUCACUGCAUUUCACGCUAGCUGUCCUUGGGAAGAUUUUCAGUUCAGAUACGCCUCGUGACAAAAACUCAGUGCUGGGGAGCUUCCUCUGCACCUGGGACAUCAUCCUAAGGUAGCACACCCUUGACCUCUCCUGGUGACACUGUGUCCUGGGCCACACAGCCUUGAUUGCCAGAGAAAUACGGAGGAGCAGGAGUCUUGGAUGGAGAGAGAGCUUGACCCACUGUCCACUACUUCAAGAAACGGGCAUAAGGUGGCAGCACUGGCAGUCCCUGCAUGUGCCUGAGGAAGCUUGGCCAAGGGCCAGGAUAAGUCGGGGAACCCUUGAGAGGAAGAGUUUGGGAAACCCAGCUUUAGAGUGAGCAACUACUCAGUAGGCCCUGGCUGGCCUCCUGCUGUGUAGAAGAAGCAGUACUGACACUUGGAAGGAUGUCACAAGUGUCACAAGCACAGGGCUGGCCAGAGUGACAUCACAAGACACUGCUGCUUCCAACCAUGGCACAGAGAGGCACAUACAGACGUGCAGGCGUCUUGUCCUCUCUUACCUACCCUGCCCAGUCUUCUCUGCGACAGAGACAGACAGAAAAGCCUGCCCAACUUGUUUGUUCUCUUUCUGUCUUUUUUCUAUUUUUUUCACCCCAAUUUUGUUGCUUGUCUAGUCUCUCGAAGGAAAUGCCUGCCACAAAUCCUCAUUGUCACCAGCAAGAUCUGUUGUGUCAUGUCAGUAGAGGCAGUUUGUUAGGUUUCAAUGUAAACAAACAAGCAACACACCUACUUUUGAAAAUUGAUCCUUUUCACAACACCCAUCAUCGGUUGCUCAGAGUUACCUAUAUGCAGGCAUAGAGAAUUAAGGAGUAGCUUCCUUCUGUGAGUACAUGUGUGAGCGUUGUGCAUGUGCAUGUUUGCAUGUGUGUGUGUGUGUGUGUGUGUCUGUGUGUUGUGGGUAGGUACCUGUGCAGGCCAAGGUCAAGGGUCAGAUUGUCACCCUCUGCUCUCUACCUUGGUUUACCCACAUUUCUGUGUGGGAACCACAUGCCUUGGAGGUCAAAAGAGGAAGUCAGAUCCCUAGAACUUGAGCUAUAUAUACACACGAGGUUCUGAGCAACCAUAUGGGUGCUGGGAACAGAACCUGGGUCCUCUGAAAGAGCAGCCAGUGCUCUGAAUCACUCAGCGAUGGCUUUAGCACCAUCCUGCUUUCUGAGACAAGGUCUCUGACUAAACCUAGACUGUGAUUCAGCUAGACUGGCUGAGCAGCGAGUUCCCGGAGUCCGUGUCUCCACCUCCCUGGUUGGAUUACAGGAACCCAGCUUUUUAUGUGGAGGCUGGGACCUGAACUCAGGUCGUCAUUAUUGCAUAGCACACACUUUACCUACUAUUUUUCUGGCCAUUGCUUCAUUUUCUGUUUUGUUUUUCGAGACAGGGUUUCUCUGUG